rnacentral:tRNA from 1 species
AGAUAAUGAAGUAAAAAUUACAUUUAGCUUCGACCUAAAACUUAGAGCCCACAGCUCCUUAUCUA